GUUUGGUAGGAUGGAUUAUUUUCAUAAUCCAUGGAUUAAAUGAUGGGAUUACUUAGUACAUUGUCGGUGAAAUGCGUAGAGAUCGGAAAGAACACCAACGGCGAAAGCACUCUGCUGGGCCGACACUGACACUGAGAGACGAAACCUAGGGGAGCGAAUGGGAUUAGAUACCCCAGUAGUCCUAGCCGUAAACGUUGGUAGCAAUUUUGAAGUUAUGUAUAACUAAUACAUGGAUUAGUUAUA
rnacentral:ncRNA from 1 species